rnacentral:rRNA from 1 species
UAACAAGGAUUCCCCUAGUAACUGCGAGUGAAGCGGGAAAAGCUCAAAUUUAAAAUCUGGUAGUCUUUGGCUGCCCGAGUUGUAAUCUAGAGAAGCGUUAUCCGUGCUGGACCGUGUAUAAGUCUUCUGGAAUGGAGCGUCAUAGAGGGUGAGAAUCCCGUCUUUGACACGGACUACCAGUGCUUUGUGAUGCGCUCUCAAAGAGUCGAGUUGUUUGGGAAUGCAGCUCUAAAUGGGUGGUAAAUUCCAUCUAAAGCUAAAUAUUGGCGAGAGACCGAUAGCGAACAAGUACCGUGAGGGAAAGAUGAAAAGAACUUUGGAAAGAGAGUUAAACAGUACGUGAAAUUGUUGAAAGGGAAACGCUUGAAGUCAGUCGCGUUAGCUAGGAAUCAGCCUUGCUUUUGCUUGGUGUACUUCCUGGUUGACGGGUCAGCAUCAAUUUUGACCGGUGGAAAAAGGCCAGUUGAAUGUGGCACCUUCGGGUGUGUUAUAGCUUCUGGUCGUAUACAUCGGUUGGGAUUGAGGAACUCAGCACGCCGCAAGGUCGGGGUUCGCCCACGUUCGUGCUUAGGAUGCUGGCAUAAUGGCUUUAAUCGACCCGUCUUGAAACACGGACCAAGGAGUCUAACAUGCCUGCGAGUGUUUGGGUGGAAAACCCGAGCGCGUAAUGAAAGUGAAAGUUGAGAUCCCUGUCGUGGGGAGCAUCGACGCCCGGACCAGACCUUCUGUGACGGAUCCGCGGUAGAGCAUGUAUGUUGGGACCCGAAAGAUGGUGAACUAUGCCUGAAUAGGGUGAAGCCAGAGGAAACUCUGGUGGAGGCUCGUAGCGAUUCUGACGUGCAAAUCGAUCGUCAAAUUUGGGUAUAGGGGCGA